rnacentral:rRNA from 1 species
AUUGAACGCUGGCGGCAUGCCUUACACAUGCAAGUCGAACGGCAGCACGGGGCAACCUGGUGGCGAGUGGCGAACGGGCGAGUAAUGCAUCGGAACGUACCUUUCAGUGGGGGAUAACGUAGCGAAAGUUACGCUAAUACCGCAUAUUCUGUGAGCAGGAAAGCAGGGGAUCGCAAGACCUUGCGCUGAUUGAGCGGCCGAUGUCAGAUUAGCUAGUUGGUGAGGUAAAGGCUCACCAAGGCGACGAUCUGUAGCGGGUCUGAGAGGAUGAUCCGCCACACUGGAACUGAGAGACGGUCCAGACUCCGACGGGAGGCAGCAGUGGGGAAUUUUGGACAAUGGGGGCAACCCUGAUCCAGCCAUGCCGCGUGAGUGAAGAAGGCCUUCGGGUUGUAAAGCUCUUUCGGCCGGGAAGAAAUCGCACGGGCUAAUACCCUGUGUGGAUGACGGUACCGGAAUAAGAAGCACCGGCUAACUACGUGCCAGCCGCCGCCGUAA